rnacentral:rRNA from 1 species
CAGUAGCCGCGGUAAUACGAAGGGGGCUAGCGUUGUUCGGAUUUACUGGGCGUAAAGCGCACGUAGGCGGAUCGAUCAGUCAGGGGUGAAAUCCCAGAGCUCAACUCUGGAACUGCCUUUGAUACUGUCGAUCUGGAGUAUGGAAGAGGUGAGUGGAAUCCCGAGUGUAGGGGUGAAAUUCGUAGAUAUUCGGAGGAACACCAGUGGCGAAGGCGGCUCACUGGUCCAUUACUGACGCUGAGGUGCGAAAGCGUGGGGAGCAAACAGGAUUAGAUACCCCCGUAGUCCCUGUCUCUUAUAC